GGAAAGGCGUGCGAUACAGGGUGACAGCCCCGUACACAAAAAUGCACAUGCUGUGAGCUCGAUGAGUAGGGCGGGACACGUGGUAUCCUGUCUGAAUAUGGGGGGACCAUCCUCCAAGGCUAAAUACUCCUGACUGACCGAUAGUGAACCAGUACCGUGAGGGAAAGGCGAAAAGAACCCCGGCGAGGGGAGUGAAAAAGAACCUGAAACCGUGUACGUACAAGCAGUGGGAGCCUCUUUAUGGGGUGACUGCGUACCUUUUGUAUAAUGGGUCAGCGACUUAUAUUCUGUAGCAAGGUUAACCGAAUAGGGGAGCCGAAGGGAAACCGAGUCUUAACUGGGCGUUAAGUUGCAGGGUAUAGACCCGAAACCCGGUGAUCUAGCCAUGGGCAGGUUGAAGGUUGGGUAACACUAACUGGAGGACCGAACCGACUAAUGUUGAAAAAUUAGCGGAUGACUUGUGGCUGGGGGUGAAAGGCCAAUCAAACCGGGAGAUAGCUGGUUCUCCCCGAAAGCUAUUUAGGUAGCGCCUCGUGAAUUCAUCUCCGGGGGUAGAGCACUGUUUCGGCAAGGGGGUCAUCCCGACUUACCAACCCGAUGCAAACUGCGAAUACCGGAGAAUGUUAUCACGGGAGACACACGGCGGGUGCUAACGUCCGUCGUGAAGAGGGAAACAACCCAGACCGCCAGCUAAGGUCCCAAAGUCAUGGUUAAGUGGGAAACGAUGUGGGAAGGCCCAGACAGCCAGGAUGUUGGCUUAGAAGCAGCCAUCAUUUAAAGAAAGCGUAAUAGCUCACUGGUCGAGUCGGCCUGCGCGGAAGAUGUAACGGGGCUAAACCAUGCACCGAAGCUGCGGCAGCGACACUAUGUGUUGUUGGGUAGGGGAGCG
rnacentral:rRNA from 1 species